rnacentral:antisense_RNA from 1 species
CUUCAACGAUCCGAGCCACAGCGGCCGGUUCGCCGGGCGCUCCUGGCCAUAGGUCGCGAGCAGGGCCUGGGCCUC